rnacentral:rRNA from 1 species
UACGGAGGGGGCUAGCGUUGUUCGGAAUUACUGGGCGUAAAGCGCGCGUAGGCGGCUUUGUAAGUCAGGGGUGAAAUCCCGGGGCUCAACCUCGGAACUGCCUUUGAUACUGAAGAUCUUGAGUUCGGGAGAGGUGAGUGGAACUGCGAGUGUAGAGGUGAAAUUCGUAGAUAUUCGCAAGAACACCAGUGGCGAAGGCGGCUCACUGGCCCGAUACUGACGCUGAGGCACGAAAGCGUGGGGAGCAAACAGG